rnacentral:lncRNA from 1 species
GUUCUCCAUCACGCACAUCACCUCUCGUCUCUCUCCCUCCCUCGGCAACCGGAGCACAUCACCACUCCUCCGUCACCGAUCGCCGGUGAUUAUUGAAGGAACUUGGGAGCUUGCCGUCUGAUGCUGCUGGAGUGGUUAUUGUUGUUUGCUGUUGCAACGAAGAAGAACACAAGUUGCAGAUUUUGUUUGCGGCGAUCUGGGGGAUGAUGUUCAUCAACGCCGCCGCAUAUCAUCUUCCCCCAAAUCAAAGGUCCAGUUUCAUGUGGGUUAAUCUGUUUGAUGCAAAAUUAGGGUUUGGGUUUUGUGUGGCUCGGAGUAAAGAAAGAAGGUGAGAUUGUCGGUUUGAUUGUCUCCGUUUGAUUGUCGGAGAUUUUGAAGCCGAUUUGAUUGUCGGUUUCUUCACUGCCGAUUUAACAGCUUUGAGUUAUGUGAGGGUUUUUGAGGGUUUUGGGUUUUGAGGGUUUUGGGUUUGGGAGGGUUGGCGGCAGUGGGAUGGUGGUG